CAAGACGGAAAGACCCCGUGAACCUUUACUAUAGCUUGACACUGAACAUUGAGCCUUGAUGUGUAGGAUAGGUGGGAGGCUUUGAAGCGUGGACGCCAGUCUGCGUGGAGCCGGCCUUGAAAUACCACCCUUUAAUGUUUGAUGUUCUAACGUGGACCCGUGAUCCGGGUUGCGGACAGUGUCUGGUGGGUAGUUUGACUGGGGCGGUCUCCUCCUAAAGAGUAACGGAGGAGCACGAAGGUUGGCUAAUCCUGGUCGGACAUCAGGAGGUUAGUGCAAUGGCAUAAGCCAGCUUGACUGCGAGCGUGACGGCGCGAGCAGGUGCGAAAGCAGGUCAUAGUGAUCCGGUGGUUCUGAAUGGAAGGGCCAUCGCUCAACGGAUAAAAGGUACUCCGGGGAUAACAGGCUGAUACCGCCCAAGAGUUCAUAUCGACGGCGGUGUUUGGCACCUCGAUGUCGGCUCAUCACAUCCUGGGGCUGAAGUAGGUCCCAAGGGUAUGGCUGUUCGCCAUUUAAAGUGGUACGCGAGCUGGGUUUAGAACGUCGUGAGACAGUUCGGUCCCUAUCUGCCGUGGGCGCUGGAGAACUGAGGGGGGCUGCUCCUAGUACGAGAGGACCGGAGUGGACGCAUCACUGGUGUUCGGGUUGUCAUGCCAAUGGCACUGCCCGGUAGCUAAAUGCGGAAGAGAUAAGUGCUGAAAGCAUCUAAGCACGAAACUUGCCCCGAGAUGAGUUCUCCCUGAGACUUAAAGUCUCCUGAAGGAACGUUGAAGACGACGACGUUGAUAGGCCGGGUGUGUAAGCGCAGCGAUGCGUUGAGCUAACCGGUACUAAUGAACCGUGAGGCUUAACCUUACAACGCCGAAG
rnacentral:rRNA from 1 species